rnacentral:lncRNA from 1 species
CGGGCUACUCCAAUGGGUCGGCUUAAGACCGAUCUCCUGAUGACAUUAUGCAUGCUCCGCUCGUCAAAUCUCCACAACUCGUACAAGUUUUCACAAAUUAGGGCCCAACCCGGCCCCCAUACCUAGACUCCGAUGUCUAGCUGAGAAAGUGACUUCGGCCGCGAGUGUAUCAGCCGAACACAGAUACCAAGGCAAUCUUUAAAGACCCUAGCCUUGCUCACCGAAACUUCGGCAAAGCCCGAGAACGAUAACUAUGAAAACCUUCGGCGAUAAUUCGACUAUUAGCCCGCGCUCCCUACGAAGGACCCGGGAGUCGAGUUCGGAAACCCUACUAGACUCCCCGUAUAGCGGCACGAACAGACCUAGCCCGGUCUUACUUGAAGGGCUAAGGCCCGACCCCGAUGCCUUUAAGAACCUAAAGGCCAGGCAUGGCAACUCCUGCGAUUCUAAGAUCCGAGUUAUAGGACUUGGAAGAAUUUUCUAAAAAACCUGGUGAUGAGAGUACAAAAGUAUAAUUUUUAUAUUAUCUUAAUUAGUAUUAUAGUUAAUUUUUAUUAAUAAAAUUAAUUAAUUAAUGUUUUAUUUGUGUUUGAGUGAAAUUAAUCCAAGAACUCUGGAUUUGAGCCCAAUGCCUGGCAGCCUGAAGCCAUCUUUUUCUUCAAGCUGUUAGCUAGACUUCGAUCAGCGUUGGAUGCUAUUAUCCCUCUGAUUUUACUUUUUAGGAACUAAAGGUGUUCACUAGAAUUUAUGCACGUAGGGAAGCAGGCACCUAACAUGAAUCAUAUCUCGCAGUUGGCCGAAGAAAAGGUCCUUCCGUAUUCAUCUCUGACAUUGACAAAGCUGAACUUACUUGGAUGACUGUUCUCCAUUGUUU